GGGAAGACUGCUGUGUGCAUUGAUAAGAGGAGUAGAGCUGACUGAGCAACAACAUAAACUAUAUCAGUAGUCUCCUUUCCUAGCAUGUGAUGAAUAGAGGAAGGUUAGAAAAAUUCUCCAGGGGCCAGAGUGAGAAGGAGAAAGGAGAGUGAAAUGCAAACAGAGGGGCUGAGUGAUGAUUGUGGCUAUGAUCCUCAAGGGAACAGGGACUGUUUCUGCAAGGAAAUCUGCAUGAUUGUGCUCUCAGGGGAGACAGAGCUGCUACCUACAAGUACCUGAGGGGAGUAAGCCCCAACAAGGAUUUAACAGAGGAAGCAGUGAUACUAUUCUUCAAAGCCUUCCUAGCUUCAGCAAUAGAGAAUUUAAACAGGAAGCUUCUGAAGAUGGAGACUACUCAAAGAAAUGUCCCUACUUACCUUGCCCUGUCGAUCUUCAACUUGUUGUGUUGCUGCCUCCCGCUUGGAAUAGCUGCUCUCAUCUAUUCUCUCAGAGUAGAGAAUGCAGCUGAGACAGGUGACAUGCAGCGAGCGUCCCAAGCUUCCCGCACUGCCCGCAUACUGAAUAUCAUCGGGAUUGUCAUAGGAGUAAUUUUGCUCCUCAUCAUUGUCAUUGUCAUAGUGGUAGCGAGAACAAGUGCCAAGUGAUAGAAGCCAGCAUCACCUUCAAAAAACUCAUCGGUGCUGGGCAAUAGCCAUGUAUCCAGUACGAGCCCUCCUACCUACUCAAAGAGUCAGCUGGGUGCAAAAAGCCCAAAAUGGGAGUUCUCGGCACCACUGAGACUGCCAGCCAGAAGCUGCAUCAUGCACAAGCACCAGUCUGUCCUUUUUAGAAGCGUUUCUCCAUAAUUAAUUGCUUUGCGCUUUUGAAUUAACCAGAUUAACAUGUUGUUCUCUAUUGGUACGCAAAUACAUUGUAACAAGUUACAAUAAAAAAGGAUUUGUAUACAA